AUGGCCCGUCUGAACUUUAGAGUCAUCAUCCUGAUCCCCAAAGUAAUUGGGGCAACGGGUAUGUGACAGUUUAGGCUGAUCAUCAUUAUUAAUGUUCUUGAGAGGGAUUUUGCGAAGGUAUGUGCCUUGCGUCUUGCACAUAUUGCGGAGUGUAUCGCAUACCCCUUCCAAUCUGUGUUUUUGAAGGGUUUACGCAUCCAUGAUGGGAUCUUGGCCCUUCAUGAGAUUGUCCACGAGGUUAGCAGGCGCCAACGUCUUUUUGAAGCUGGACUUCCAAAAGACAUAUGA
rnacentral:rRNA from 1 species